AAAAAAAACAUUAAAGCAAUUUCAUUUAAUAUCACUUUUUGGCUAUUUGCCAUUAAAACAAAGAAUGUGUGUUCGUGCAUACAUAUGAGCGCCGGUGGUGGAAAAGCAGCGAAUAAUUUGGAAAGAUCCGAGAGAGUAGAUAACUUGUAGAACAGGAUAUGCAAAAUCUGCAGCAAAACAGUUUCCUGUGGCCAGAGCUAAAACAAUUAACGACUAGUUAAAACAUUCUUCACCCAACCAACCAACCAACCAACCAACCAACCAAGGGCGUAAGAAAACAUUGGGAAGAUUGUGAGCGAGAGCGAGAAAGAGAGAGAGAGCGAGAGAUUAGGUAAAUACCAUGAAAGUUUUCUAUUUUCAGCAAGCAAAUAUUAUCAGAUGUGAAUCAGGUUCAACACGUUUCUUCGUUAAAGAUUGUGGCGGCUACAUAUGUAUGUACAUACAUACAUACAACAUUUAAGUAAGUAUAAAAGUUGUAAAGAAGAGAUCGCAACCAAGAGAAAAUAGUAAAACCUAAAAGAACAUUUAGUGCAAUCUAUUUGAUGAAAUAUAACUACAAACAUUCAUACAUUAGCAAAUAGGAAUUCCUAAGAAGCAUAGAUAGAAGGAAUAAGCAAAAAGUCAACAGUUUCACCGGGGGCAGCGCACCCAAAUGGGACACAGUGACGCAUAGAAGCGGCGUUUUUUACAUCCCACGACGACGGCAAGUGUGCAAAAAAUACCUUGCAACUUAAGCAAACUCAUAGGAAAGUUGUAAGAAAUGGUGGAAGAGUAAAAUACCAGAAAGAAAAAAAUUGCCGCAAGAAGCAAGAGCAAAACGUUUUACUGUUGUCGUUGGAAGUUCAACCACGCGGAAGACACUAUAAUGAUCAACGCAAAUAAUACUUGCGAAUGAAUUUUCUUUAAUAAGCGGCGUGUUUUUUUUUUCUAUCGCAGACAAACCUAACGAAUUAGGCCAUACUGGGCUUAGCAAUAUCAAAAUGCCGCGCGAUGGGCGAAGAUGUUGGAUAUCGAAAAGAAAAUAUACAUACAAACAUAUGUAGAUAUAAAUGAGUAAAAAAAUUUCUUGUAGGCCACACAAUUUAAGCUAUUAAAAAGUAGUAAUCUAAAAUUGGCAAAUUCCUCUACCUAUUUAGUCAUGUUCCAUUGUUUCAAUUAUAGCGUUUAUGUACAUGAAUAAUUUUUGUUUACUCCAACUAUGGCUGGGGAACGUCAAUGCUCCAGAGUUUAGUUUCGGAUUAUCCAUAUUGACUGACCAUUUUGCUUUUAGGCUAGUUGUAUGUGAUUUCCUAUCACGCAGCUAACAUCACUGGGCAUUUAGCUUUGGUUGUGAAAGAAAAAUUAAGUCACCGUUUUCAUUUAUGUGGCCAGCCAAACGCAAACACAUUAAUUUAAAAAUAAACUAUGGAAUCAUACAACACAAAUGUGUACCCCAAAUACAUAGCACCCACUAGAAUCGUUAUCGAGUAACACUUUCUGCUACAUCAGAUUGGUAUGCAUUAUAAUAUUAACUUUUGAAAAAA